GCCCGGCCCGGCCCCGGUCCGUGGGGAGGCAGCGCCCGGAGGAGCUGGAGUCCACGAGAGGAAGGCGAGGAAGAUGUCGGUCGUGUGAGAAGGUGGAGGCCGGUCCAAAAAUGCCGUCUGAUGACAGCACGGGGGCGGGAUCCCACCCGGCGUCUUACUCAUUGACAAGAAGCGGCGUGGUGCUGCUGGGACAAGCGGGACGGAGCCGCACGUGGCACCGAGGACCUUGUGCUGCCCCUCUCAGUAAGCCCACCUGAAAGGCAGCGGGUGCAGGCUGCAGGGUGUUGCUGCUGGUGUCCUGGUGACGGCCACGUCCCUGAACGGUGCAGACCCCGCUGGUGAACCGCAGCCACCGCUUCUGUUGUGAACUUAUAUGAAAUCAGGGAUGUGGCAUCCCAGCCCUUGGUUUUUGGGGGCUUCGCCUCGGACUCACCGAAACCAAUUAAGGCUGUGGAGAAAGCACAUUUUGGGUAGAGAAUCCGAAGGACCCUCUGAGCAGAGCUGGAAACACCAAACACGGCGAUGCCGAGCAGCCCAGGAACCACAGCCCCCAGCCCCACGGCACAGGACAGGAGGCAAAAUCCAGGCAAUGAAGGUGCAGCGUGGGCUCCUCUGUAUUUCAGAAUGAAACCAGAAAAAAGAAAAAAAGAAGAAAAAAAAGCACACUGGCCCUAUCUCCGCUUGGCAGAAACCCCCUCGCAGCUCACCCAUAAAAGCUGAAUUCAGUAGCUCGGCGUAAUCCGAACUUUCCCUCUGCCGCCCUAAAGAAAACGUUGGAACAGAGCGAGCUCAAUGCCCGCUGAAGAGGCCCAUUUAUCUGCAGGCUGAAAGAAAGCAGUAGGAUAAUAUUUGGAAAAGGCUGCGAGCGCGCGGCCCCGGCUGCGCACGACGGCAGCACCCUGCCGAGGUGGCUGGGGGCGAGGCCGCGCCCCCCGGAGUGUUACAUUUCCCCAUUUCCCCUCAUUUCCUGCCCAUUUCCGUGCUGGCCCCAAAAGGUUUUGCCAUGUCCCUGUUGGGUUUGGGUGUGUUUCCCCCUGCAAAAAUAAAAAUAAGGUAUUUUGGUGGGGAGGGUGGGCAGAAAACCUGCCCGGUGCCAGCAUCCCAGCGGGGCUGGCAGCCAGAAACUGCUCCUUCCCCCUGGUUAUUGGAGCUGCGCGACCAGCUUCAUCAGACAUCACUUAAAACCAGGUUGAUUUCUGCGUAAU